UCGCUGGCUUCUUAGAGGGACUGUCAGCGUGUAGCUGACGGAAGUUUGAGGCAAUAACAGGUCUGUGAUGCCCUUAGAUGUUCUGGGCCGCACGCGCGCUACACUGACAGAGCCAGCGAGUUUUUUCACCUUGGCCGGAAGGUCUGGGUAAUCUUGUGAAACUCUGUCGUGCUGGGGAUAGAGCAUUGCAAUUAUCGCUCUUCAACGAGGAAUACCUAGUAAGCGUGAGUCAUCAGCUCGCGUUGAUUACGUCCCUGCCCUUUGUACACACCGCCCGUCGCUACUACCGAUUGAAUGGCUCGGCCCGUGCCCCCGCCCCGCC
rnacentral:rRNA from 1 species